UCCACCUGGUGGCAUAAAAGCUCCACCUAAAGAGUCGAAUUCUUUUUCCACCUGGCAUAAAAGCUCCACCUAAAGAGUCGAAGUUUCUUUUUCCCCCUGGUGGCAUAAAUGCACCACCUAAUGAAUCGAAGUUUCUUUUUCCACCUGGCAUAAAAGCUCCACCUAAAGAGUCGAAGUUUCUUUUUCCACCUGGUGGCAUAAAUGCCCCACUAAU